UACACAAACCUUAUCACACUUGAAACGACUUAAAGAGCGCCCAUCGCCUCGUUAAAAACCACUAAUCUUGUCGUUCUCUGCAUUUUUUAUCUCGGAAAGUGCGAACAAUUGCUUUUGUAUGUUGAACGAUUAGUUUUUGAAAUUUGAAGAGUUUUAAAUGAAUUUUAAACUCGUCAUUAUUGGAUCUUGCCAUUUGAAGGGAGAAAUUGAAGGGUGAAGGAGCCAUCUGCCUCAAUUUAAACCUGAGGUUAUAUUUUUGUCUGGGUUUCGGCUACAGAGAUAAUGCAUAGGUAGAGUAAACGCGGUUGGCAUUUCAUACCUCGUGAAGAACUUGAAAUGAUAAACAUCAUAUGUCAUAGUCUUUUUUACGAUAAUUUAUUGUGUUACAAAUACUGCUUGUAAACGCACGCACAGUUAGACAGUUUGGCAGUGUAAUAUAUAUGUAUAUAAUAUCUCAGUACGUUGAAGUUUAAACAUACAUAAUAUAUCAAUUCAUAGCAGUAUAUAAUGUUUCUACUUAUGCUGUUGCUGCAUGGAAGUAUAUAUGUCAGCGAAUUUGUUCUAUAAAAUUGUAACUCUUGGUCAAAUAUAAAUCCUGUGAUAUAGUAGAAAAAAUAACGAAACAGUUCAGCAAGUGAAACUAGAAUGCAA